CCGGCUAUGUAUAGUGAGUCAGGGCAUCGUCCUUCUUCGUUCGUUGCAAACUCAAUAAUAACAGCUUCUUCUUCUCUGUAACAAUGGAGGUAGAACCAAAAGAGCAGAAAACAUCGAGAAAAAAAGUAGCAGUGCUACCAUGGAUGAGAAAUCCAGUUGACGUUAGCUCGUUUAACAAGUGUCCUCUUACUCAGCUUCCGUUUCUUCACCCUAGGCUGGAAGAGGCUUUGUGCAAUGGUGGAAUUGAAUCACUUUUUCCUGUCCAAGUUGCUGUAUGGCAAGAGACCAUGGGCCCCGGCUCCUUCGAAAGAGAUAUUUGUGUGAAUUCACCGACAGGAAGCGGGAAAACCUUAGCCUAUGCAUUGCCAAUCGUACAGAUUCUUUCAACUCGUGCUGUCAAAUGUCUUCGAGCGUUAGUGGUUUUGCCAACUCGCGAUUUGGCUUUGCAGCAUGGGCGACCCCUAACAAUUCCUAGGCACUAGGAAACACUUGUAAUGAUCUGGGAUCCAUGCUAGACUUGCUUGUCAUGAUGGAUUAAGAACACUAUAAAAGGCCCUUGUGUUGCAACAUUAUGUUCACUCAUUCCAUCUGCAUUCUUGGAGCUUCCUGGAGCAUAAGAGCAGACCCUAAGCAUCCCAAAUCGUGCAUAGGACUUCAGUUAAGUGCAGGUACUACGCGAACUAGGCUGGCUUUCUCCUAGCAUCCACAAUAAGUCUCGCAAGCUUGGAUGUCAAAACUGUUGAACAAUAUUUCCUAUUUAUUUUGAUCCCCCUGUGGAUUACUUUCAACUGUUGUGAUACUUGAUAUUACAAUUUAUUAAAGUUGAAAUAUAUCUA